rnacentral:rRNA from 1 species
CCUACGGGGGGCAGCAGUGGGGAAUAUUGCACAAUGGGCGCAAGCCUGAUGCAGCCAUGCCGCGUGUGUGAAGAAGGCCUUCGGGUUGUAAAGCACUUUCAGCGGGGAGGAAGGCGGUGAGGUUAAUAACCUCAUCGAUUGACGUUACCCGCAGAAGAAGCACCGGCUAACUCCGUGCCAGCAGCCGCGGUAAUACGGAGGGUGCAAGCGUUAAUCGGAAUUACUGGGCGUAAAGCGCACGCAGGCGGUCUGUCAAGUCGGAUGUGAAAGCCCCGGGCUCAACCUGGGAACUGCAUUCGAAACUGGCAGGCUAGAGUCUUGUAGAGGGGGGUAGAAUUCCAGGUGUAGCGGUGAAAUGCGUAGAGAUCUGGAGGAAUACCGGUGGCGAAGGCGACCCCCGGGACAAAGACUGACGCUCAGGUGCGAAAGCGUGGGGAGCAAACAGGAUUAGAUACCCCAGUAGUC